UAAUACCGGAUACGACCCUCGGAGGCAUCUCCUGGGGGUGGAAAGAAUUUUGGUCAAGGAUGAGCUCGCGGCCUAUCAGCUAGUUGGUGAGGUAAUGGCUCACCAAGGCGACGACGGGUAGCCGGCCUGAGAGGAUGACCGGCCACACUGGGACUGAGACACGGCCCAGACUCCUACGGGAGGCAGCAGUGGGGAAUAUUGCACAAUGGGCGAAAGCCUGAUGCAGCAACGCCGCGUGAGGGAUGACGGCCUUCGGGUUGUAAACCUCUUUUAGUAGGGAAGAAGCGAAAGUGACGGUACCUGCAGAAAAAGCACCGGCUAACUACGUGCCAGCAGCCGCGGUAAUACGUAGGGUGCAAGCGUUGUCCGGAAUUAUUGGGCGUAAAGAGCUCGUAGGCGGUUUGUCGCGUCUGCUGUGAAAUCUGGGGGCUCAACCCCCAGCCUGCAGUGGGUACGGGCAGACUAGAGUGCGGUAGGGGAGAUUGGAAUUCCUGGUGUAGCGGUGGAAUGCGCAGAUAUCAGGAGGAACACCGAUGGCGAAGGCAGAUCUCUGGGCCGUAACUGACGCUGAGGAGCGAAAGCAUGGGGAGCGAACAGGAUUAGAUACCAUGAUAGUCCAUGCCGUAGACGUUGGGAACUAGAUGUGGGGACCAUUCCACGGUCUCCGUGUCGCAGCUAACGCAUUAAGUUCUCCGCCUGGCGAGUACGGCCGCAAGGCUAAUACUCAAAGGAAUUGACGGGGGCCCGCACAAGCGGCGGAGCAUGCGGAUUAAUUCGAUGCAACGCGAAGAACCUUACCAAGACUUGACAUAUACGAGAACGGGCCAGAAAUGGUCAACUCUUUGGACACUCGUAAACAGGUGGUGCAUGGUUGUCGUCAGCUCGUGUCGUGAGAUGUUGGGUUAAGUCCCGCAACGAGCGCAACCCUCGUCCUAUGUUGCCAGCACGUAAUGGUGGGAACUCAUGGGAUACUGCCGGGGUCAACUCGGAGGAAGGUGGGGAUGACGUCAAAUCAUCAUGCCCCUUAUGUCUGGGCUUCACGCAUGCUACAAUGGCCGGUACAAAGGGCUGCGAUACCGUAAGGGGGAACGAAUCCCAAAAGCCGGUCUCAUUUC
rnacentral:rRNA from 1 species